rnacentral:rRNA from 1 species
AUUGAACGCUGGCGGCAGGCUUAACACAUGCAAGUCGAGCGGGGGAAGGUAGCUUGCUACCGGACCUAGCGGCGGACGGGUGAGUAGUGCUUAGGAAUCUGCCUAUUAGUGGGGGACAACAUCUCGAAAGGGAUGCUAAUACCGCAUACGUCCUACGGGAGAAAGCAGGGGAUCUUCGGACCUUGCGCUAAUAGAUGAGCCUAAGUCGGAUUAGCUAGUUGGUGGGGUAAAGGCCUACCAGGGCGACGAUCUGUAGCGGGUCUGAGAGGAUGAUCCGCCACACUGGGACGGGGACACGACCCAGACUCCUAAGGGAGGCAGCAGUGGGGAAUUUUGGACAAUGGGGGGAACCCUGAUCCAGCCAUGCCGCGUGUGUGAAGAAGGCCUUAUGGUUGUAAAGCACUUUAAGCGAGGAGGAGGCUACUUUAGUUAAUACCUAGAGAUAGUGGACGUUACUCGCAGAAUAAGCACCGGCUAACUCUGUGCCAGCAGCCGCAGUAA